UCUGAGCGCCAGAUGGAGUUUAUUUGCAGAGUGGCUGGGGCGAGAGAAGGCAAAACACAUCACAGAGAGGGUGGUGCCAGGUGGGAGGGAGACCCGGCCGGAGAGAAGGAGAGAGGACGGCGGGAGGACAGGGACGGAGGGGAGGCUGCGCCACACCAGACAGGCUAAUUUAUUUAACAGACAUUUCCUGAUCCCUGCUGCAGGCCAUCGCUGAGUACAUGGGGUCUGUCAGCAGACGGAAGGCGGCAAAGACCCCCGACUCCAGGAGCUCACAAAAUAACCACAAAAAAUAAGCCAUGCAGUUAGAAGAGGAUACACGUCCUAGAGCAACAGCAGAGUGGGGGGAUGAGGAGGCAGACAGUAAGCAUUUACAACGCGCAGCUGUAAUCCCAGCACUGCGGGAGGCCGAGGUGGGAGACUCGCUCCAGGCCAGGAAUUUGAGACUAGCCUGAGCAACACAGCAAGACCCGCCCCCAACCAUCUUUUUAAAAAGUUAAAAAUUAGCCUAGCGUGGUGGCGCAUGCCUGUAGUCCCAGCUACUCAGGAGGCUGAGGCAGGAGGAUUGUUUGAGGCCAGGAGUUGACACCCACCUGGGCAACAUAGCAAGACCCCUCCAUCUCUAAAAAAAGUUAAAAAUUAGCCUAGCGUGGUGGCGCAUGCCUGUAGUCCCAGCUACUCAGGAGGCUGAGGCAGGAAGAUUGCUUGAGCUGUGGAUUUUGAGACUGCAGUGAGCAGAGAUAGCACCACUGCACUCCAGCCUGGGAGACAGAGCGAGACCCUGUCUCAAAAAAAAUAAAAAUGCGAGGGGUGAGGGGAUGAGCCUAAAGUGCCCUGAGCAAACAGCAAGUGCAGAGGCCCUGGGGAAGGUGGCGGCAGGUAUGGAGGGACAUGCAGAGGUCUGAGGCCCUCAUGGACCAAGGGAGGAAUGCAGCCUGCAGAGAGGAGAGAGGAGGAGGACGCCGAGGGGAAUCCCAAGCCCCAUGGAUGAAAACACACCGAGGAGACACCAAAAGCCGUUGGCCUUGGGGGCCUCGGGUGGGGCGGCUUCCCUUUCUGCAUCCCCCGGGGCCUCCUCAC
rnacentral:lncRNA from 1 species